rnacentral:rRNA from 1 species
UACGUAGGGUGCGAGCGUUAAUCGGAAUUACUGGGCGUAAAGCGCGCGUAGGCGGCUUCGCAAGUCGAGUGUGAAAUCCCCAGGCUUAACCUGGGAACUGCAUUCGAGACUGCAUAGCUAGAGUAUGGGAGAGGGAAGUGGAAUUUCAGGUGUAGCGGUGAAAUGCGUAGAUAUCUGAAGGAACAUCAGUGGCGAAAGCGACUUCCUGGACCAAUACUGACGCUCAUGUGCGAAAGCGUGGGGAGCAAACAGG